AGGAAAAUUUUAUCAAAGAUGUCACCCAGGAGGUGACAACUGGGAAAUUACCCGUUAGCCCGGCAGCCACACCAACCCAGAGCCCGGUGGCAACGCCGGUGAA